GUUCUUAUGAAAUUUAAAAAUAACAUUUAGAAAUCGUCAAAUACCUUCAUUCCCUUAUUGAUUUGACAUAUUGUAUAUUUAAUCAUAAAAGCAUGCCAUUUAAGAUUUGUUAGACACCACAAAGGUUAUCUAGCAGAACCACUUUUGCCAGUGGAUGAGAAACCUAUCGCCCAAAGAUUUUCUCACUCAAAGACGCACAGAUAAUUAAAACCAGAAUGCUCCACAUGUAACCAACCAUUCACUGAGAAAGGAAAUGGUUUGACAGACUGAAUCCACAUCUCUGCCAUUAGGGAGGACCUUAAGCUAGAAUUGCAGUACAUGUGACAAAUGUAUAUAUGAAUGAAUCAAAGGAUGCUAUAAGUGAUCAUAGAGUGGGUUGGAGAUGUUCCGUGUUCUCAGAGGAAGAGAGAUAACAGAAGCUAAAACCCAAAUCCUAAAAGAUGACUGAGUUUAACAAGUCCAGUAGUGGAAAAAGAGUGACCCAAGAAAAAAAUACAUAAAAUCUGGGAGUUUAAAAAGAGAAUACCACCUUUGAAAAAUGUCAUCCUGUUUAAUAAUGUUAAUGCCAAGAGUUGAGUCAGGUGAGUGAUGGAGAAAUUGGAGAAAUGAGCCAAUAGGUAAAUAUUAAUAGGAUAUGGUAAAACUUUAAAUUUUUUUCCUGGAAAGAUACAGAAUUAUUGAAAAGUUGUAGGCCAGGAGAUAAUACAAGGAAAGGUGACCCAUCUCAAACUGAAUUUUGAGUUCAGACCCUAAGGAAUACAAUUUACACAGUAUAAACAUUAAAUAUGUUUGUUUUGGUGCAGUCUUCCAAACCACCUUCGAACAGAGCUUCCUCCUGUAUUAAACUAAAGUAUUAAAGUAAGGGAUAGGAAAGUUGUCUCUGCAAUUUUAUUAUCUGUGUCUGGGUAUCAGGGCACUAAUAGUCACCCUGAAUCAGAAUUCAAAUUCAAAGAUAUAGGACAAAGGAGUAUGCACACACACACACACACACACGCACAAUAUUUUUCAAAUAAUCUUUCUAACUAAAAACAUCCCUAUACCAUUGUAAUAAAAUGUAGCUGUUUAUCCACUAAAAAUUAGCAUUAUGUACUGGCCAUGUUUUCUAAAACACUAUUUUUAAAAUAUUUAUUGAGGAAUUAUAUAGAUAAAUAUAUUUGGUAUACAACAUGAUAUUUUGACAUACAUUUAAUUAUUUCACAUUGUGAUUGAAUGAUUAAAUCAAUGAUAAAUGAUUGAAUCAAGCUAUUUAACAUGUCUAUCAUGUCACAUAAUGACUUUGUGGUGAGACAUUUAGGAGAUCAUUAAAAUCUACUAUCUAAUCAAUUUUCAAGUGUAUAAUACAUUAUUAUUAAUCAUAGUCAAUAUGUUUUAAUAUGGACCUCGAGAACAUAUUUCUAAAUGAAACUUUGUAUUCUUAGAUCAACAUAACUUUUUAUCACAUUAUGCAGGAGAAAGGGUAAGUAAUAUCCUAAUUUUUUAUAGGUAGAAAUGAAGAUUCAGUAACUUCUUUUUUCAGCAACUGUUACUUAAAUGAGAAAUGCAAUACUUGUUUAUGGGUUAUCUGAACAAAUGAAUGAAGAAAUGCAUAUCUAAUUAACUAUCAUUGAAUACUACUUUUUAGAUUUCUAUAAGAUUUACUUACUGAGGGCCCUUAUUUGAAAUCCUAAGCAAUCUAAGAGGAAAGGAGCUUUUCAAUGUCGAAUCAUUUAAACGUUAAACCUCUUUUAUGCCAUCAAACGAUAUUUUGUCUUUAUUUCUUUAGAAGCAAUCAUUUUAAAAGAUGGAGAGACUGGAGUAAUAAAAGAAAGAGUUAGAGAAGAUAAAGAUUAGCUACUUUCCUUAGAAUGAAUGUUGAAUCAUUUCCCUUGAAGGGAGUGGAGAAAAGGGGAUUUUGUAUCCUAGGCUUUGACCCUCAAUAUAGCAAUAGAAAAGUCAUCAAUUAUUCUGCUAAUUAUAUUACCCUAAAUAUAAUAACCGGUCUGGUUUUACUUAUCAAUUGAACUAUGAGGAAAAGAAAAGAUUAGUAUGUUUUUAGGGAGAAAGAUUAUCAGCAAAAAGCCUGAGGCAAGUAGUGGGAGAAGUGAAGGCAUUUCUGUGUGUGUGUGUGUGUGUGUGUGUGUGUGUGUGUGUGUGUGUGUGUGUGUAGAAAAGCCCACCUGGCUUUAUCAUGACUAGAGAGCCUAUGAAUCCUGGCCCAAGUGAGAAUUGACACUGCUAGAAAGAAGUAGUCAGGUAGUAGGCCUAGGGAAGGGUCAAGGCAACUGUAGGCUCAGAGGUAAUCAGUUUCAUAGGCGACGAUCUUAUGGCAUCUGCAUCCAGUACCUUCGCAGACCACAGGAGUCGUGCUACCGGUUCUCCCAGCAAUAUAACCUGGAAAAAGCAUGUACUAGAAAUAGGUUGUCAGAUAAAAUAUAGGAUGCUCACAAUUUGCAUUUUAGAUAAACUACAAAUAUUUUUUAGUAUUCAAGUAUGUCCCAUAUAUUGCAUGGGACAUAAUUAUACUUAAAAAAAAAUCCACUCCAUCUGAAAUUCAAAUUUAAAUGGAUGUGCUGUAUUUUUAUCUGAAAACUCUGUUUUUUUGUGUGUGUUUUGUGUGUUUUUUUAAGAUGGAGUUUCACUCUGUGGCCAGACUGGAGUGCAGUGGUGCGAUCUUGGCUCACUGCAACCUCCAACUCCCGGGUUCAAGUGAUUCUCCUGCCUCAGCCUCCAGAGUAGCUGGGAUUACAGGCACGCACCACUACACCCAGCUAAUUUUUUUUUUUCUGUUUUUAGUAGAGACGGGGUUUCACCAUGUUGGCCAGGAUGGUCUGGAUCUCCUGACUUCCUGAUCCUCUCGCCUCGGCCUCCCAAAGUGCUGGAAUUACAGGUGUGAGUCACCACGCCUGGCCGACAUUCUUAAUUUGAAAAGACAUGUUCCCACAGUGCACAGAGGACAAGUGGAAGAGCCUAUUCAUCUUCCAAGGCUGUUUGCUUUGCACACAUCCUGAAAAGAUAGUCUACGAUAAAGUUGUUAUGAAGAUGUAUAGAAACUCUGGAGAAUUGCUCCUCAAUCAUCAUCCCUAAACAAAAUGCUGAGAAAGAAAAUGGCAAGCUGCUGUGGAAAUACAUAAGAAGGAAACAAACCAUCUGAGCAUCCUUGGAGGCUUCCUCAGGAAGAUACUUUUUAAACUGGGACCUCAGAAAAAGAUGAUUGAAUUAAGAAGUAAAAACACAAGAGAAAAAGAUAAUUUUAGGCAGUAGCCUCAAACGUUUUUAUUUCUUUAUCUUUACUCAGGUCAUAAACAAUCUUUAAAAAAUAAUAGCUUUGUUUAUGUAAAGAGCAUGCAUAAAGGUGAAGAGGCAGAAGAUGACAAGAUGCAUGUGGCUGGAAAAUAAAGCAGGAAUGACAGAAUGUCAUGAAGUGAGACUAGUGUGGCAGGGAGAUGAUAGAUUAUGCAAGACUUUGUAGGUAAUAAGGGCUUCCAAAUUCAUUCCAAAAUAGUGAAACACAAUUGAAGGAAUUUAAGCAAGAGAGUAAAAUUGUCAGUUUUCUUUUGUAAGGAACUUCUCUGCUGUGUGGAGCCUGGUUGGAGGGGGGCAAAAAUGGAUUCAGGUAAUCAGUUUAAAAAGUGUAUACAAUAAAUCAGAUGAAACAUGUAAGUAAUUUGAAAGAGGGAUGAUCAGAGGAAUAUCUAGACUAAUUGGGGUAGGUGGUGGAAAGGGAAGUGUUGAAGGAGGUGAUAUCAUGAACAACUGAAUGAAUCAUGAUACCAUCUACUGAUCUAUAAAUAUUGGCAAGUCUGAAGAAAGGAUAAUUAGUUAAUCUUUAGGCAAAUUACAUUUGAAGUUAUCUGUAGCUGUGUUAGUCCGGGUUCUCCAGAAAAACAGAAUCAAGUGAAGUAUAUACAAAAAUCAAGAGAUUUAUUAUGAGGAAUUGGCUUACACAAUUAUGGAGGCUGCUAAGUCCUAAGAUCUAUAAUCAGCAAGCUGGAGAUCCAGGACUGCUGAUUGUGUAAUUUCAAACCCAGGGCUGGCAGGCUUGAGACUGGGGAAGAAUCAGUGUUUCAGUUUGAGUCUCAAGGCAAGAAAAGUCAGGGUCUCAGUUCAGACAGGAGGAAUGUUCUCUUAUUCAGGGCAGGGUCAGUCUUACUUCAUACCGGCCUUCAGCUGACGGGAUAAGGCCCAUUCCCAUAGGGAGGGUAAUCUGCUUUACAUUGUCUAUCAGUGUAAAUGUUAAAGUCUCACAGAAACAUUUAAAAUAAGGUUUGCAGAAAUAUCCCAGUACCUAACUGCUCAGUCAAAUUGACACAUGAAAUUAACCAUCACAGUAGCUAAAUGAAUGAAACAGUUGGAUACACAGUUUUCCAUAAGAAAAUUUUAAAAGAAAACUGAAAAGAGAAAAAGAGAAUUUUAGGCCAGAGAAUUUUGGAAGUUUUUUUUGUUUGUUUGUUUUUUGUUUUUCUCAGUCUUGUUCCUCCCUAUAAUCUAAGUUGUUUUAUGUCUUUCCCACUGCAAAAUCUUCCUCAUCCAUACAUAUACAAAAGUGAUCUACUUUGUCCAACUAGUUAUGCAUUUUGGCUGGGAUGGAAAAUACGAGAAUGGAAAUAAAAGAAUACAUCAAGAAGGUUGUGAAGCAUAUGGGUAGGAUUACUGAAAGAAGUGCAAGGUAUGUACAAAAUACAAGGGAGAGAGGAUAGGGAUUGGUACAAAUGAAAAGAGAUGUGGCUGGGCACAGGGGCCCAUGCCUGUCAUCCCAUCACUUUGGGAGGUCGAGGAGGGCGGAUCACAAGGUCAGGAGUUCGAGACCAGUCUGGUCAACAUAGUGAAACCCC
rnacentral:lncRNA from 10 species